AGAAUCAUUCACACAUCAACAACGCCUCUGGUUUUCCUCUCUGCUCUGUCUCGUCUCAACGCUAAAGGCUAAAGCCUCUCCUGCUCUGUCUAGUUUUCCUCUAUCUCAUCUCAUAACAAUAUCACAUUUGCCUCUCUAGCUCAACAAACCCAUACCCACAAUUGAAGAACCAGACAACGGUGCACCAUCGAAUCUCAAUCCAACUCGGCGGCACCACCCUCUAGCUUCUUCUAUUCCAAUCCAACCUCAAAUCCACAUCCAAUCCAAUUCGGUGGCACUUCUUCCGUCUCUCUGCCCUUUUGUUCGAAGUUUCCAUCGUUUAUCGAAUCUAAAAUCUCAGGUUGCUAGGAACUAAACCAAUCUAUUUUUCCUUUUGGUUCAUAGCAAAAAAAGCGUGGUGCUAGAAAGACCGUACUGGUGAAGAAGAAACAUGGCAACUAUCACGUUUUUACCCCACGAUUGAGGAACUUAUUGAAAAACUUCACAAAGGUGAACUGUCAAAAGAUGAUUACCCAUGUUUGAAUGACCCGAGUCAAACUUUUCAUGGGACGUCUCAGACUGCUACAGUAAAUCAUACUUCAAUUGCUAAUACAGCUCAAUCAAAGCAGACACAUAAAUGGGCUUGGCCUCGGAACUCUAAUGAUGGGUAUUCAAGGUGCUAUUUUCAUGCUUCCCUCACAUGGGUCUGAGUAGUCCAAUAAACUCAAUAAUAGCCUGCAUUAUACAAGCCCUCCACCCCUUCCUUUCUUUCUCUUUCCCCAAUAUGUCGAUGGUUAUCUUCUAUAUGUUGUUUGUCUUAACAAAGUGAUGCCUUAUAUUUUUAUGUUAUCUUGAUCUAUGUAGAUACUUACUUAGAGGACUGGUAGGCAUUGGUGGAACUGACAUAGAUUGAUAGGAGCCUUUUCUAAUAUCUUUCUGUAGAUUCUCAUCUUCAUAAUGUUUUUUUUCCCCCCUGGUCUAUAGUGAUUCAAUUCUAAGACAUGCAUCUAGUGAUUUUUAGAAGAUGGGCCAACGGAUUUUUGUAUUCAUCAUUGGUGGAGCUACUAGAUCUGAGAGUUUGUCACAAGCUUACAACUAAAUUGAAGAGGGAAGUUGUUCUGGGCUCAUUAAGUAUUGAUGAUCCUCCACAAUUUAUUACGAAAUUGAAGAUGCUGACAGCACACGAGCUUUCAAUAAAUGAUCUCCAGAUCUAAAACAUGGGGGUGGCUUUAGGAGGCCCAGUGUUUUCUAUGCUCCGGUCCUCAAUCCAGUUUGUAACCAUAGAUAACAUCAUUUCAUUGUAUCCAUUUUUUAACAUUCAAUAUAGAACCAUUCAUUUGGCAAUGGCAGUGAUUCUGUAUCUUUUCAUAUUUCA